CUUGGGGAUCUGGCUUAUGGAGGGGGAUAACGACGGGAAACUGUCGCUAAUACCGCGUAAUGUCUAAGGACUAGAGGGUGGGACUUUCGGGCCACCUGCCAUAAGAUGAGCCCAAGUGGGAUUAGGUAGUUGGUGGGGUAAAGGCCUACCAAGCCGACGAUCUCUAGCUGGUCUGAGAGGAUGACCAGCCACACUGGAACUGAGACACGGUCCAGACUCCUACGGGAGGCAGCAGUGGGGAAUAUUGCACAAUGGGGGGAACCCUGAUGCAGCCAUGCCGCGUGAAUGAAGAAGGCCUUCGGGUUGUAAAGUUCUUUCGGUGAUGAGGAAGGGUGGUGUUUUAAUAGAACAUUACAUUGACGUUAGUCACAGAAGAAGCACCGGCUAACUCCGUGCCAGCAGCCGCGGUAAUACGGAGGGUGCGAGCGUUAAUCGGAAUGACUGGGCGUAAAGGGCACGCAGGCGGUGACUUAAGUGAGAUGUGAAAGCCCCGAGCUUAACUUGGGAAUUGCAUUUCAUACUGGGUUGCUAGAGUAUUUUAGGGAGGGGUAGAAUUCCACGUGUAGCGGUGAAAUGCGU
rnacentral:rRNA from 1 species